GGGCCUGUAGCUCAGCUGGUAGAGCGCUGCGUUUGCAACGCAGAGGCCGUGGGUGAGCCCUUUUCUUGCGAAGAAAAGGUUUCAAUCCCAAAAGAAAGCAGUUUCCGCUUUGCGGAAUAGCACCGUGAAUUUAGUGGAACGCCGAUAAGGCCUCCGUUAAGUUUACUUUUGGGGUGAAGACCUUUUUAGCCAAGUUAUCCGGAAAAGGGUUUCCACAAUCGAAUCCCACCGGGUCCA
rnacentral:tRNA from 1 species